AAUCCAUGACUCCAAUAGUAACAGAAAAAUAUUUACGUUAAACCUUUAGAAAAAUAAAGACAUUACAGUGGAUGAUUUCAAACCUGUGACACAAUUUUGAGGAUAACUCAAGAUAAAACAUGGCAGUCUCAGGAAAAAAAGCAUCAAAACAAUUUUCAUCAUCUACAACAUCCAUGGCAUCAGAUGAAGAUCUUCAAAUUUACUGCCAGCCUUGUGACGAGGAAGGACCUAGACUACCUGCCCAUGGUUACUGCACUGACUGCAAGGAACACCUCUGCAAGAAUUGUUUUACGGCACACAAAGUCAGUAGGCUUUCAAAACAUCACACACUUCAGGACGCUAUUAAUAUGCCUAAAGUAUUUCAGCAACCCUCAACAUCUAUUCACACAGGCCAGUCUGAUGUCCUGACCACACUCUGUCUUAAACAUCCACAAGAAAUGAUCAAGUUCUACUGCAAUGACCAUAAAAAACUACUUUGCAGUGUUUGUGUUACCCUUGAACAUCAAGCUACUUCCUGCAAAGUUGAUUAUAUACCAGACAUUUCUGGUGAUAUAAUAGACAGCAAAGAAUAUCAAGAUAUUCUAAAAAGAUUGAAUCACAAUUCUGACCAAUUUCAACAGAUGGUAGAAGAUGUCAAGAACAUGACAAACAAAUCAAACAGCUCUCUAAAAGAUGCAUUAGC